rnacentral:rRNA from 1 species
CUGGUUGAUCCUGCCAGUAGUCAUAUGCUUGUCUUAAAGAUUAAGCCAUGCAGGUGUAAGAUCAUAUCUAUGAAUGGUGAAUCCGCGAAUGGCUCAUUAAAUCAGUUAUAAUUUAAUAGGAUGUGAUUCGUUAAUUGGAUAACUGUGGUAAUUCUAGAGCUAAUACAUGCAUAUACGGCUGAACUUUGUUUGGCUGUGCUUUUAUUAGUGCAAACCAGGCCUUCGGGCUGCAAAAUGGUGACUCUGAAUAACUUUGCUGAGCAUUUGGACCUUGUCAGUGCUAUUCCUUUAAAGUAUCUGCUCUAUCAACUGUCGAUGGUAUAUUAUAUGUUUACCAUGGUUGUAACGGGUAACGGGGAAUUAGGGUUCGAUUCCGGAGAGGGAGCCUGAGAAACGGCUACCACAUCUAAGGAAGGCAGCAGGCGCGCAAAUUACCCAAUCCCGGCUCGGGGAGGUAGUGACAAAAAAUAACAAUGCGGGACUCUUAUGAGGCUUCGUAAUUGGAAUGAGUACAUUCUAAAUCCUUUAACGAGGAACUAUUGGAGGGCAAGUCUGGUGCCAGCAGCCGCGGUAAUUCCAGCUCCAAUAGCGUAUAUUAAAGUUGUUGCGUCUAAAAAGCUCGUAGUUUGAAAACUUGCCUUGGCUUACAACAGACGUCUAAGGGCGUCACCGUUUGUCGAGAGCAAAUAUGGGUGACUGUUCUUGCCUUCUUCACUGAUUGGCUCGUAAAAGUCAUCGAAGAUCACUUUGAUUAAAUUAGGGUGCUCAAAGCAAGUGUGCUACUUGAAUAUGAAUGCAUGGAAUGAUGGAAUAUGUUGUUGUUCUAUUUGUUGGUUUUUUGAAUGACGAAAUGAUUGAAAGGAACUGUUGGGGGCAUUCGUAUUGUUGUGAGAGAGGUGAAAUUCUUAGACCAUCCCAAGACGAACUACUGCGAAAGCAUUUGCCAAGAAUGUUUUCAUUGAUCAAGAACGAAAGUUAGAGGUUCGAAGGCGAUCAGAUACCGCCCUAGUUCUAACCAUAAACUAUGCCGACUAGCAAUUUGCUUUGUAUUUCUAUGACUAAGUGAGAGGCCACGGAAAACCAAAGUAGGGUUAUGGGGGAAGUAUGGUUGCAAAGCUGAAACUUAAAGGAAUUGACGGAAGGGCACCACCAGGAGUGGAGCCUGCGGCUUAAUUUGACCCAACACGGGAAAACUUACCUGGUCCUGACACUAGAAGGAUUGACAGAUUGAUAGCUCUUUCUUGAUUUGGUGGAUGGUGGUGCAUGGCCGUUCUUAGUUGGUGGAGUGAUUUGUCUGGUUAAUUCCGAUAACGAACGAGACUCUAGCCUAUUAAAUAAUAUGCGGAAUCAAUUUCUCCCGCGUUAUUUCUUAAUGGGAUCAAGCGUGUUUAACGCUUUGAAACAGAGCAAUAACAGGUCUGUGAUGCCCUUAGAUGUUCGGGGCUGCACGCGCGCUACAUUGAAGAACAAAGUGAGCCCUCUGGCUUUUAACAAAGCUAGAAAUCUUUUAAUGUUCUUCUUAAUGGGGAUAGGGGAUUGCAAUUGUGCCCCUUGAACGAGGAAUUCCCAGUAAGUGCUAGUCAUUAGCUAGUACUGAUUACGUCCCUGCCCUUUGUACACACCGCCCGUCGCUACUACCGAUUGAAUAGUUUAGUGAGAUCAUCUGAGUGUUUGUAUGUGCAUUCUGUGCUUGUAUGGUGUACGAAGAAGAUCAAACUUGAUUAUUUAGAGGAAGUAAAAGUCGUAACAAGGUU